AUGGUAAAGAAAAUGUGUAUUCGUUGCAGCAGGUGCAUUUGGAUUCCCCCACAGCUGCAAUUGGAUCGCUGCGGCAGAGAACUUCAUUAAGAUUUGCAUGGCUGAUAUGUCAAGGCAGCCGAGGGUAUCUGUUAGAUACGACUUUGGGCCAGAUGAAUGUGUUGCAGCUGCUGUCUGGAUGUCCUUUCAAGCUGGAGAUUAAUGGAAUAUUCAAUUUCAAUUGACUCUUCAAACAUAUCAACAUUUUGAAAGCCAAAGAAACUUGAAGUGCUUUUCGCUUUAAGAGAUGCGAAGGCAUCGACAUGUAUAGAUGUCGAGGGUCCAUCAAAUACUCAAAUUUUGAAUCAAUUAAAUGCAACCUCAACCAUGAAGCACUUUGGUGAAACAAAAACCAAACAUUUCGUGGUAUCAAAUUGUUCCCAUUGCGGAAAUGCCCAACUGACAAAAAAAUCGAUCUGACGACGACAGAUGUCUUUUCAAUUUUCGUCUUAAGUUCCAGCUGAAAAAAAGAAAUGAGCAGCAAAAAUUUGUGCCGGACAUGCCGACGUGAGGUUUCACCGGCAACAUGUGGCUCUGGGACGAAGACCGAAGAUCCAGAGGAAGCGCUGAGAACAGGCGAAAAUCGGCAAGUAAAAUGGUUGAGUAAUCAAAUAACCUCUUCUGGCUACCUGCGCAGCUGCAGCUGCCAACGCACUCCUCAGGUGUGUAUGGGCCUGCCUUCUUUGUCAUGGCAUGGUAUGGGUUAUGGUAUGGCCCCUGGGAUGUUUGGCCAGUGGAUUAACAUAGCGGGGAGAGGGCAUCAACGAAAUCCCGGGAAGGUGAGGUGGUCGGAAGAACCCAAGCCAAGGCAAGAUGAGAGAGCAAAGACUUGACUACCUGGGCUCACCUCACCACACGCACACGCAGAUACAAAUAUUCCCGCGUUCGGAUACAGGUACUGAGAUAACUCACCUUGACGCCAACGCCGCCGCACAAAGAUACAUAGAUACUCACCCAUACCUGGGCAGAUUUUAACGGAAAAAUGAAAGCAAAUCUUCGUUACGAACGCGGCUUGAGGAAAAACCAGUAUUUCUGAAACGGCUCCGAUCGAGGUGUGUAUCUGUUGGAUUCAAGUCUCUCCCAGGGCUUCUCUUUGGCUGCCCGGGUCGCGAAGUCUCUCUUUGAGUUCAAGUUCCAUUCCCCAGUCUUCAAACUUCUUUGCAACCCAACUCGAACUUAAGACUGUUCUUCAGGUACAGAAAUAUCCACUGACCCAAAGGCUUUUAUUUUGUUGCUGUUGGCAAAAACCUAUUACAAUGUAGGAUUUAUGGGAAUAUCUUAUAUCUUUAACAUCUAUAAAGUCAAGUAUUUAUUUUCUUAGCAGAUCAUGGAUCGCUCUGCCUAGAGAUUAUCAUAUUCAAACCACUCAACUCGAAAUCUACUCAACUCAGCACAACUCUUUCUGUCACGCACGAAUCGAACAACUCCCUCGUCGUUCUGCAGAAGCAGAGACAGAAAAAGAUACAGAUACUUCCACAGCUACAGUUGGAUACGUAUUGAUGGGGCACGUCUUGGCGUUUUACUACCUGUUGAUGGGGUAGAUGCUGCUGCCAAGGUCUCGCGUUGAUUAAUUAUGGUGGAACGGAGACGGAGUGGAGGCGAGGUGGAGUUGCGACGAGCGAAUGUCCACGGAUGAACAGUCGAAUGCAAGACUGCCAAGAUGCCUAUUAACACUAGCUGACUAUUCAUCACAGUUUCAAUUACCAGACUGCCCAGACAGACGGUCUACAUUGAUUUGAAUUAUUGAUGGGGGCAUCGCUAUAAACACUGGUAUUAUGCCCAGUUCAUUACUCUCUGGAAGUGAAUGUAUGUUAGUAUAUAUAUAUACAUGUACCAUUUGGCAAACCAUAUAUUCAUUUUUAAGAAAAGAUACUCGUCAUUUCACACUUGAAAGUAAGUGCAAGAAGUUCUUAGUCCUUUAUCCUGAGUGGGAUCGUGUUUCACUUUUCACAUGGUCUCUUAGUUUGUUAUGACAAACAUGUCCAACUCCAUACUUAUAGGGUUUGAAAAAAGACUCCAACGUUUCCCUAGGGCCUGUUAUUAUCCAAUUAAUUCCUUAAUGAAAAUGCAAUUUCUUUAAGCCCAAGAUAACUAUAGCAUAUGCAACUUCUUCACAUUUCCAUUCUGACACUUUCUGUUUGCGAAUUGGAAUGGUUACCAGAUGAUCUGUAAUUAUUUGCAAAUGAAUUCCUCCCUCAUCCGCUGGCAAUUAUUUUUCCGUGACCCCGGUGGUUUAGCUAUUUGACCAUCGCCAGUUGAAGCUGUUUCCCUGGCGGUUCUCCUCCAAUGAGCAGGAGGAGCAGCAUGGAAACCCAUGGGAAAAUGGAUCUGGGCGGAAUAUGCACUUAUGCACCUACAUGAUAUAUGGCGACCGCAAGCGGUUUCCCCUUGGCCAUCUUAUCACCAUGACGCCUUGUACGGCACUAAUAACUCUAUGAAGUCGGUGGUACGUGGCUUCUGUGCUAAAACGCUUAUUAGUUGGCCAGCGAUUCCUUCGCUCCACUCUCAGUAUUGGAAUGCAUAGCAAUGAGACUGGCCGCUCAUAAAGGGAAAUUUUCGAAAAGAAGACGAUAAAAUGCUGACCAUCAUCGGACGGGACGUGCCCGUUUGCAGACGAUACUUUGCGAUCAUCGAUGCCCGGCACGUACUUGCAGCCUGAUUUGUGGCGAUCAGCAGGGAUCGGCAACACUCGUGGCAGAAAUAACAGGGCCGGGAUUAGAGGAAGACAUAACCACCGAAAAGCGACUCUCGCGGAAUGCUGAAAAAAUAACAAACAAGGUGUGCAAAUUCGCACUCUAGCGAUUCUUUUUGCAUGUCUGGUUCUUUCUACAUAUAUGUACAUACAAAUGCAGGUGCCUUGUCUCCAUUACCCCCAAUGGUUGAAAGCUGAAACACUUUGGAAAAAUAUUGCAAUCAAAGCAGAAAAUAUGGUCUUAAACUAGUUUCGCCACGUUUUCGCUGAAAUUGAGACCGGCACAAAUGCUGGCCAAACAACAGUCUAAACAAUAAAAAGAAACCAACUGAAGUGAGCAAAACAACUUUAAACUGAUAUAUCAGCGAAAUUCAGCAGAAUAUGUUUGUUCAAGGAUAAACCCAUUUAAUAAACUUAAUUUAAAUUCGCAAAGAUCUUAGUGCAGUGAUACACACCCUAUACUUUCAUCAACCUCAUAACCAAGGCCAACUAUCAAUUGCUUCCAAUCUAAUCGAUUGGAUUUUAGCUGCCAGCCCACCAAAUCGAACAUAUUCUUCAUAGUACACACAGUCAUUUGGAGUGACAUAAUAUUUGGUGAAAACAAAGGCGGAUCUCGGGGUGAAACAUAUUGCAUUUAACUACCAAAACACAACGAAAUACACCAAAUCACCAGAAACACAAAAUGCUACUGGACUUAAGAAGAGUUGUGACUGAAAUACAUAUUUUACCACAGGAGGAGGGUGGCAUUUUGGGUUUGGCGGUGGUGGUUGGAAUAAUGUACUGCCGGAAAAGUAAAGCAAAAACUACCAAACAAAACAAAGGGCAAAACUCGAAUGGGGGAACACGGCGAACACAAUAAAAUUAAAAUGAAACUUCGCUGGAAACCCUACAAGUGAAAUAUGACCCUAAUACAACUGCACGUUGGCGGGGGCGGGGAAACAGCCCUCUCCUCCGCCAAAAUCCAGAGCAGGAAUACCACAAACUGGGUCUCCAAAUGGAACUCCGAUCGAAGAGGGGACAGAGGCGACAGGAACAACCCCCAGUGCAGUGACAACAAAGGUGAAUUGUCCAAUGACAACUGCAUGCUCGAGUUCGGAUUGCUCGGUUUCCGAUCCCAAAUUGAUAAGCCCCUUGAGCAGCACAUGAAAUAUGGGGUCUACCCAACGGGAAUGCAUUCAGUUGGUUCACUUCGACAUUCCAGCGACGAGCGGGUUGUGGCAAGCUAUCUAUUCUUGUUUGCAGAUUGCACCAGAUUGCUGUGUGCGCCAGAUAGUGGAUAUCUUUUGUUUGUUCCCGACAAUCGUUUGAUAUAUGGCGCACCCGGCUCUUGAGCUUCCUCAAAUCUCUAAGAUACUUAUUCACAAAGAAUUUUGCUCACUUAUGCAGAAAUGUCGCCGAUGAUCAGCAAAAAAAAACACGUUCAGCGCAGACAAACGAAAUCGGAUGCAGCUUAAAUCUGCAAAAAGAUUUCAUGCAAAACUCGGAUGUUUGGAGAAUGAUUUUGAUGUAUGAAAGCAAAAACGUGUCUUAUAGAUACACAAGUAUCUUACGCAACGAAAUUGUAAGAAUGUAACAGCAGUUAUUGAAUAUUGACUGACAAAGUUGCUUCUAAUAUAAGAGGGUUGUAAAAACUAUUUUGUAAAAAGGAGAAAUGCAUUUUUCUUGCCAUUUUUUCUACCUUUUAGCUUUGUAGUACUGCCUUAAAUGUACAAUUCGACUAGCAGCGUGGAAAUGGAGCAACAAGCUGCUGUCGGCGGCGACGGGUCAGGCCAAGCCAACUUAAAGCCAAAUAAAAAAGAGAAAAAACUACAAAAACGGCAGCAGGCAGUCGACUUUACCAAUAAAUCGACCGAAAAAGCAACGGCGAAGAAGGCAUUGACACAAAAGUUUCGUUUUACGGGCAAAAAGGUGACGACGGGUGCAGGCCCAAAAGUGCAGCCCGUAGGAAGUGCAGCUAGCGAUGCACUUUGGUGGAAAACCACCCCCACCAUUUGUGGGGCAAUUUGGGUAACGCGAUAGGGAAAUGGGAUCGCCAGCAA